UCAGUAACACAUGAUCAACUUGCCCUAUAGAGAAAAAUAACCUCGGGAAACUGAGGAUAAUGUUUCAUAGCUGAAUUGGCUUGGAAAAGUUUUUCAGUAAAAGGGAUAAAAAAAAUGGUUUUUAUUCGCUAUAGGAUAGGAUCGUGUUCGAUUAUGGUUGUUGGUGAGGUAAUGGCUCACCAAGCCGAUAAUCGAUAGGGGUCGUGAGAGCGGGAGCCCCGAGAUGGGUACUGAGACAACGACCCAGGCCUUACGAGGCGCAGCAGGCGCGAAACCUCCGCAAUACACGAAAGUGUGACGGGGUUACCCAAAGUGUUCAACAUUGAACUGUGGUAGGUGAGUAAUGUUCCCUACUAGAAAGGAGAGGGCAAGGCUGGUGCCAGCCGCCGCGGUAAAACCAGCUCUUCAAGUGGUCGGGAUAAUUAUUGGGCUUAAAGUGUCCGUAGCCGGUUUAGUAAGUUCCUGGUAAAAUCGGGUAGCUUAACUAUCUAUAUGCUAGGAAUACUGCUAUACUAGAGGGCGGGAGAGGUCUGAGGUACUACAGGGGUAGGGGUGAAAUCUUAUAAUCCUUGUAGGACCACCAGUGGCGAAGGCGUCAGACUGGAACGCGCCUGACGGUGAGGGACGAAAGCCAGGGGAGCGAACCGGAUUAGAUACCCGGGUAGUCCUGGCCGUAAACGAUGCAUACUAGGUGAUGGCACGGCCAUGAGCCGUGUCAGUGCCGUAGGGAAACCGUUAAGUGUGCCGCCUGGGAAGUACGGUCGCAAGGCUAAAACUUAAAGG
rnacentral:rRNA from 1 species